GGGUCGUUAGCUCAGUUGGUAGAGCAGUUGACUUUUAAUCAAUUGGUCGCAGGUUCGAAUUAGAGCAGUUGACUUUUAAUCAAUUGGUCGCAGGUUCGAAUCCUGCACGACCCACCA
rnacentral:tRNA from 1 species